CCCUUAGAUGUCCCGGGCUGCACGCGCGCUACACUGAUGUGUCCAGUAAGCACCUAACCUCUUCCGAAAGGAACGGGUAACCUUUGCAAAGCACAUCGUGAUGGGGAUAGAUUAUUGCAAUUAUUAGUCUUGAACGAGGAAUUCCUAGUAAGCACAAGUCAUCAGCUUGUGUUGAUUACGUCCCUGCCCUUUGUACACACCGCCCGUCGCUCCUACCGAUUGAAUGUUCCGGUGAGCUCUUCGGACUGCGCGGUCUGCAGUUUCUGCGUUCCGUGCGGAAAGUUGCGCAAACCUUAACAUUUAGAGGAAGGAGAAGUCGUAACA
rnacentral:rRNA from 1 species